AUCUAUAGCCAUACCACCCUGAAUGUGCCCAAUCUCAUCUGAUCUUGGAAGCUAAGCAGGGUUGGGCCUGGCUAGUACUUGGAGGGGAGACUGCCAGGAAUACCAGGUGCUGUAGGCU
ensembl:rRNA 5S_rRNA 5S ribosomal RNA